rnacentral:rRNA from 1 species
GACGAACGCUGGCGGCGUGCUUAACACAUGCAAGUCGAACGAAGUGGCGAACGGGUGAGUAACGCAUCGGAAGUACCGAGUAAUGGGGGAUAACUGUCCGAAAGGACAGCUAAUACCGCAUACUACCAGAUGGACCUGCGUUGUAUUAGCUAGUUGGUGGGGUAACGGCUCACCAAGGCAACGAUACAUAGCCGACCUGAGAGGGUGAUCGGCCACACUGGGACUGAGACACGGCCCAGACUCCUACGGGAGGCAGCAGUAGGGAAUUUUGGACAAUGGGCGCAAGCCUGAUCCAGCCAUGCCGCGUGUCUGAAGAAGGCCUUCGGGUUGUAAAGGACUUUUGUCAGGGAAGCGGUACCUGAAGAAUAAGCACCGGCUAACUACGUGCCAGCAGCCGCGGUAAUAC